rnacentral:tRNA from 1 species
GGUCAGAGCGUCGGUUAGCGGUUCUAUCAGCGGACUCAUAAUCCGCCGGUCCUCGGUUCAAGUCCGAGCUGGCCCA